UACGGAGAGUGCAAGCGUUGUUCGGAUUCACUGGGCGUAAAGGGCACGUAGGCGGCUCGGCAAAUCGGUCGUGGAAUCUCGACGCUUACCGUUGAAACGGCGGCCGAAAAUACCGGGCUCGAGGGCGUGAGGGGUCACUGGAACUCCUGGUGAAGCGGUGAAAUGCGUAGAUAUCAGGAGGAACGCCGGAGGCGAAAGCGAGUGACUGGCGCGUUCCUGACGCUGAGGUGCGAAAGCUAGGGGAGCAAACAGG
rnacentral:rRNA from 1 species